UGAACGCUGGCGGCGUGCCUAAUACAUGCAAGUCGAACGAGGUGCUUUUGUAGCAAUACGGAAGUAUCCUAGUGGCGAACGGGUGAGUAACGCGUUGGUGACCUACCCCAAAGUGUGGGAUAACAGUUCGAAAGAACUGCUAAUACCGCAUGUGGUUAUUGGAUUUAGAAACCGAUAACUAAAGGAGCAAUUCGCUUUGGGAGGGACCUGCGUCCCAUCAGCUAGUUGGUGAGGUAAUGGCUCACCAAGGCUACGACGGGUAGGGGACCUGAGAGGGUGACCCCCCACAAUGGAACUGAAACACGGUCCAUACACCUACGGGUGGCAGUAGUAGGGAAUAUUGGUUAAUCUGGGAAACCGGGAACCAGCAACGCCGCGUGCACGAUGAAGGCCUUCGGGUUGUAAAGUGCUUUUUGAAAGGAUGAGGAAGGACAGUACUUUCAGAAUAAGCUUCGGCUAACUACGU
rnacentral:rRNA from 1 species